CUUAGAUCGCACUUACUACUUGGAUAGCUGUGGUAAUUCCAGAGCUAAUACAUGCGUUGGACUCCAAACUUUACGGUGAGGAGUGCUUUUAUUAGAUCAAAGCCAAUCGGGUCUUCGGAUUCGUUUACUUGGUGACUCUGAAUAACUUUGCUGAUCGCACGGUCUUGCACCGGCGACGUAUCUUUCAAGUGUCUGCCUUAUCAACUGUCGAUGGUAGGUUAUGCGCCUACCAUGGUUGUAACGGGUAACGGGGAAUUAGGGUUCGAUUCCGGAGAGGGAGCCUGCGAAACGGCUACCACACCUAAGGGAGGCAGCAGGCGCGCAAAUUACCCACUCCCGGCACGGGGAGGUAGUGACGAAAAAUAACGAUACGGAACUCAUACGAGGCUCCGUAAUCGGAAUGAGUACACUUUAAAUCCUUUAACGAGGAUCUAUUGGAGGGCAAGUCUGGUGCCAGCAGCCGCGGUAAUUCCAGCUCCAAUAGCGUAUAUUAAAGUUGUUGUGGUUAAAAAGCUCGUAGUUGGAUCUCGGUUUCGGGUGGAUGGUGCAUCUUGCGGUGUUUACUAUCUACUCGGACGAUUUUGUUGGUUCGUUCCUGGUUCUCUUAAUCGAGUGCCUUGAGUGGCCAGCACGUUUACUUUGAAAAAAUUGGAGUGCUCAAAGCAGGCGCUACAGCCUGAACAUUAGUGCAUGGAAUAAUGGAAUAGGAUCUCGGUUCUAUUUCGUUGGCUUUCGGAGUCGAGGUAAUGAUUAAUAGGGACAGACGGGGGCAUUCGUACUGCGACGUUAGAGGUGAAAUUCUUGGAUCGUCGCAAGACGAACUACUGCGAAAGCAUUUGCCAAGAAUGUUUUCAUUAAUCAGGAACGAAAGUUAGAGGUUCGAAGGCGAUCAGAUACCGCCCUAGUUCUAACCAUAAACGAUGUCGACCGGCAAUCUGCUCUCGUUAAAUUAAUGACUGAGCAGGCGGCCUGCUGGAAACAAGAGUAUUUGGAUUCCAGGGGGAGUAUGGUUGCAAAGCUGAAACUUAAAAGAAUUGACGGAAGGGCACCACCAGGAGUGGAGCCUGCGGCUUAAUUUGACCCAACACGGGAAAUCUCACCAGGCCCGGACACCGGAAGGAUUGACAGAUUGAGAGCUCUUUCUUGAUUCGGUGGGUGGUGGUGCAUGGCCGUUCUUAGUUGGUGGAGCGAUUUGUCUGGUUAAUUCCGAUAACGAACGAGACUCUGGCCUACUAAAUAGACGUCAGAUCAUUC
rnacentral:rRNA from 1 species